CGAUAUCGACGAGUUUGUAUCCUGGCUCAGAACGAACGCUGGCGGCAUGCCUAACACAUGCAAGUCGAACGAAGGCUUCGGCCUUAGUGGCGCACGGGUGCGUAACGCGUGGGAAUCUGCCCUUGGGUUCGGAAUAACUCAGAGAAAUUUGAGCUAAUACCGGAUGGAUGACGUAAGUCCAAAGAUUUAUCGCCCAAGGAUGAGCCCGCGUAAAGAUUAGCUAGUUGGUGGGGUAAAAGGCCUACCAAGGCGACGAUCUUUAGCUGGUCUGAGAGGAUGAUCAGCCACACUGGGACUGAGACACGGCCCAGACUCCUACGGGAGGCAGCAGUGGGGAAUAUUGGACAAUGGGCGAAAGCCUGAUCCAGCAAUGCGCGUGAGUGAUGAGGCCUUAGGGUUGUAAAGCUCUUUUUACCAGGGAUGAUAAUGACAGUACCUGGAGAAUAAGACUCCGGCUAACUCCGUG
rnacentral:rRNA from 1 species